GCCUGACUAAUGAGGCGUGGGGCGACCCAGGAACACCCCCCUCCUCAUGUACCACACUCUUCAGGCUUUCUCUUAGUUUUGGCAUGUGCAUGUAAAUGUCAACAGAUCAAUAAAGGCAAAAACCAGGAGAUCCCAUAAAUCCUGCUGAGCCUGUCAUAGCUGUCAAAUUAUGCCCAGAUAAAGCUUCUGGUGGCUAAUGACAUGGCCAUCACCCAGCGUGGCUGUGGGCAGGAGGGGGCUCUCCAAGAGCAUCUGGUCUGCUGUGGAGACACUUGUCACGAAGUAUCAUCUGGAGGCUCUGUGGCUGUAAUGGAGAGUGACGCUUUGAACGUGAUUAUCUCCCCCAUAAAGAAAUAAAUAAAUAAUAAGGAUAAUUUAAAAAUAAACAAAGAUCUAGAUUUGCAGGCUA